rnacentral:rRNA from 1 species
AGAGUUUGAUCAUGGCUCAGAAUCAACGCUGGCGGCGCGCUUAACACAUGCAAGUCGAACGAGAAAGGGAGCAAUCCUGAGUAAAGUGGCGUACUGGUGAGUAACACGUGGAUAUCUACCUCUUGGUGGGGAAUAACCUGGGGAAACCUGGGCUAAUACCGCAUAAGUUCGUGAGAAGAAAGGCGCAAGUCGCCGAGAGAGGAGUCCGCGGUCGAUUAGGUAGUUGGCGGGGUAAGAGCCCACCAAGCCAAAGAUCGAUAGCCGGCCUGAGAGGGCACACGGCCACACUGGCACUGAAACACGGGCCAGACUCCUACGGGAGGCAGCAGUGGGGAAUCUUGCACAAUGGGGGAAACCCUGAUGCAGCGACGCCGCGUGAGCGAUGAAGCCCUUCGGGGUGUAAAGCUCUUUCGGCAGGAACGAUAAUGACGGUACCUGCAGAAGAAGCUGCGGCUAACUACGUGCCAGCAGCCGCGGUAAUACGUAGGCAGCAAGCGUUGUUCGGAAUUACUGGGCGUAAAGAGUGUGUAGGUGGUGUCGUAAGUUUGGUGUGAAAUCUCCCGGCUUAACUGGGAGGGUGCGCCGAAGACUGCGAUGCUGGAGUAUGGGAGAGGAAAGCGGGAUUCCUGGUGUAGCGGUGAAAUGCGUAGAUAUCAGGAGGAACACCUGCGGUGUAGACGGCUUUCUGGACCAUUACUGACACUGAGACACGAAAGCGUGGGUAGCAAACAGGAUUAGAUACCCUAGUAGUCC